UACGUAGGCAGCAAGCGUUGUUCGGAAUUACUGGGCGUAAAGGGUGUGUAGGCGGUGCUCUAAGUUCGGUGUGAAAUCUCCCGGCUUAACUGGGAGGGUGCGCCGGAAACUGGAGUGCUCGAGCGUGGGAGAGGAAAGCGGAAUUCCUGGUGUAGCGGUGAAAUGCGUAGAUAUCAGGAGGAACACCUGCGGUGUAGACGGCUUUCUGGACCAUUGCUGACGCUGAGACACGAAAGCGUGGGUAGCAAACAGG
rnacentral:rRNA from 1 species